GACCCGCCAACAGGAGGGGAGCGGUAGCGCCUCCUCAGGAUGGAACGGCCCUGCUCCACAGGGAUCCGCAGAGUAACAGGGGCUUGGAAGCGCCCGGCAUCCCCGGUACUCCAUCAGCACCAGCACCCGAGUCUCAGUGGGUUUCUGAGCAUCUUUUAGUGGGUCAGCACUGAAAACGUAAUGGAGAAUAGGUUGUCUGGUACCAAGUCCUCAGCAACAGCCCCGUAAAAGAGACUUGAUGGAACCACAGUCCCGGGCUGAGCUCCAAAGCAUUGCUUAUAAUCAAAAACUUAUCUGGAGAAAGAAACUCCAAUUAAAAACUGACUUUCUCCAUCCAACCAUUAGCAGCAGAACACAUCCCAUCUUCACUUAAAGAAGCACAAGAAAUGAAGACGGCUUCUUAGCUUAGGACAGCAGGACCUUCCAAUUUUUCAAAUUCAUCUCAAAUAUCCCUGGGAGCAGCAUACAUUGCUUGUGGUCAGCAACACAGAUGCCACCUUGGAGUCGGCAUGGGCCGGUGAUCUUUUCCUGCUUUGGUGCCCUUCCCCAGCAUUGCUAACACAGACGAGGAACCCUUAAAAAAUGAGAGGUUAAAGCAGUCCCAUCAGCUCAUCUACCAAUCCUGGGCUUUGAUGCUGCCUGCGGUUCACAAGGACUUACUCAGAAAACGUUGAGAAUUUCAUGGCACAAACUCAGAGGCACAGCUGUCCACCAAGCAAGCCCUCCCGGCUGAGUGCCUCCCGGCUGGACACAGCAAGACGUACACCAGAAAAGAGAUGAGGCUGGAAUAGCCAACACCCAGGAGAGGUGUUCCAUCCCUUGGACUGUUUCUGCAGCCCUCCUCUGGGCACACUCCAAUGGGUCCGUGUCACUCCUGUACAGAGGACUCUACACCCACACACAGUACUCCAGGUGAGAUCUCACCAGCAUGGACAAUCCCUCUGGCCUGCAGUAUCAGCAUUUAAAGCAGACAUUUGAGCCUCUGUGUUUACCAGAAAGUGACCAGAGUCUUAAAAUGACUACAGGAAAAAGUUACCAGUAGGUCCCCCUACUCAUUUUUACUGACCCUUCUCAUAUACGCCCACUGGCUGCUCCCCAACUCUCACUGGAGAUACUGUAAGAAGUUUUCUGACUUUGUAGGGCAAGUGGGUUCCCCCAUGGGAGCUAUGGGAAUGCCUGAUCUGAUAUACAGGGUCUGUGGGGACAUUCUCAUUUGCCAGAUGGCCUAUAUCUGUUUCCAGACUUUAACCUGGGAGGAGUAGGCCACCCACUCGUUCUCAGGGAGCACCUUGAUCCAGACUUUUCUUCCACAACUGAUUUCUUGAGGCUCCUCCCAUGUGGCUACUAACUCAGGCACAGAGCAUUUCCCCCUCUGCCUAGGGAAGGCAAUAAUGACAGAGAACAGUUCUCCCAUCAACAGUGGCAUAAGCAAUCCGGGACACCUUAGCUGCAAUACUUCUACCGCUUUUGAAUCAUUACUGAAUUUCAAAUGAAAAAGAUGCGAUACUUUCCAUUUGUCACAUUCAAAAACACGGUUUGGAUAAGGAAAUCUUUUAAUGGACUCAACAAAGGUAUUUUUGGCUGCUGGAAUACUCAAUCUGUUGAGCUAAAAAUAGCUUUAAAUAAAUUUGUAAUACAAGCAGUACAUACUUUGCCUAAGAAAAAAAUCUGCUGGCCACUCACAGAUCAUGUGAACUCAGUUAUUUAGUUGUGCAAAGAACAUGAGUAAUUCCACGCCUUAUCUGACUGUAGAUUUGGAUCUAUUUAGCAAUGGUGCUGUCACAUACCAAAUGCAAGACAAUAGGAAGGGAAAGUCCCCACAAACAAUGGCCGCAGUCAUUUAAUGAGAUGGUCACAAAGAAAAGAGAUGAGGCUGGCAAAGCCUGGGCCUCCGCCUCCAUCCUCCUAUCUUUCUCUGCGCAAAGAAGCAAGGCACCCUCCUGCCCACCUUUUCUUUAAUACUGCAGUAUAAGGAAAUGGGAUGCCUGAUAGUACUGCUCCCUGACAUCCACCAGCUGAAACUAUGGAACAGAAAUGUCUCACUUUUUUCCUUCCAAAAUUCCAUCGGUCGGUAGAAGGGCUCCUCAAAAUGUCCUGUUUUUACAACGAGUGCCAUACAAGCUGUUUCUGAUACCGCUCAUGGGAGCGCAGCGCAACCUGAGCAAUGGUAAAAUAGGGGAGCUCAAACAUACCCAGUACGCCGUGCCAGGUUAAGUUCACAGCAGCUGCUCUGUUCACAGAAAGACAUCUGAGAGAAGUGCCAUAAAUAACGAGAUCACAUGGAGUCUCCCAUUGCACAACCAACAUACAUCUUUCCUGCUCAGGAAUUUAUGCUUCACACCCUACGCCGUCAGUCAAGAGCGUGUUACCAGCUACGUUCUCAGGAUGAGCCGGAGGAUAUUUUGGAAAGCGAUACAGCCCUCCUGCUGGCCAGAAAAAGCAACCACGAUUUCCAGAUUUCUCAGCAGACUUUUGCAACAGUUUUGAGGUGAUCCACCAUCAGUGUCUCUCUCAUUCAGUACUAGACUCCAAGCCUGAAAGGAGACCCACUGCCCUCGGUGAGACUGAUGUCAGAUGGAACUUGUUAGGCUACGAGCAGCUUGCUCCUUGUCCCCUAGCUCUUAUACCACAACAGAAAUGAGGCUGCAAAGGAAAGGUUCUUACCUCCACUCUCACGGCCCUGCGGCACAGAAACCUUCUGCUCUUCAGUGGCAGCCCUGUCUCAAGAACAAGAUCAAGUGGUGCCUUUUUGUUUGCCUGGCUGAGUUAGCAAACUAGGUUGCAUCACCCAGGCUCCUCACUGUGACUAAACCAUGGCUGAGGCAUUUGGAGGAAAAAGGCAAAGCCUUUUGAUCAUGGCUUCUGAUUCUGAGUGUAAGCACCAGUCAUUGAGGUACGCACGCUGUCAGCAAGCCUCCACUACUGCUCUUCAGGUGUAACAAGCCAGAGGCAUCAUGGCAUUAAUGACAUGCCCAUCACGAUGCUCCUUCCCUGUUGAUGAUGGCGCACAGUGACAAUUCUCAACUUCUUUUAUGUAGAAAUUAGGGCUGGGGCAAAAUCUUUUGGCUUCCCCAGAAGGAGAGGCUGAGUGAUGACAUACCCACCUUUCUCUCCGCGGCGUGUAUAAUUUCAGGUUGCCCAAUAACACCAACGCUCCUAAGUUCAGGAAGACUUUAAAAGGAGUGAUUAUGCUCACGGAAGUCAUCUAGCAUGAAUAAACUACCCAGGCAACAGGGAAGCAUUCCAGAGCCCUGUGCUGUCAUCAGGCUUUCAGCCAAUGCUGCUUAAUCAUAUAUGCAAAACACACAUUACGGAAAGAUUCGUCAUAGAUUUGAAUAUUCUUAAUCAAUUACCCCCUGCACUGAAGAAGCUUUCCUGAAAGCCAUCCUCAUAUGAAGGGACUGGGAUCUCCUGCUGCCUUCAGAGCUUCUGUCAGUGGUACAGCACAGGCUUCCCCCUCAGCACUAGAAACCCAUGAGGCAGUUUUGGAAGGGGCAUUUUAGAGCUUAGCAGCACCUGAGCACCACACUGCUAAAAUUCGUAACUGCCAGUGCCACGAGUUAUGCAGCAGCUGCUACGGGCUGUGCUCCCAUCUGGUCCUGGCUGGCACAUGCCAGUUCAUACCAGCUGGGCACAAAACACAGCGCAGACUGAAACCCAAAGUGCUCGUGGCACAGCAAAAGGUAUUUUGACUGCAGGUUGUAGAGCCUGCAGUAUUUUCAGCCUUAAACACAGCUGUGUUCAUCAUUUAUAUAAAUUUAAGACUUUCUUGAGCCUUGACAUUAGAUUUAUCAAGCUUCAUCUGAAAGGCUCUGUGCAAUACUUAGUGCAGAUCCUAGCCAGACACAUUUUAGUGGGGAGUGCUGCAAUGACCUUCCCACCACUUACCAGAAGAUUAUAAUUUUCACAUAAAAUUACAGAGUCGUGCUUGUAAUGCCACUUGAAGACUUGCCUGUGCAGAAAUCUGACUGUCAGCAGCUUCCACAGGGGGAACAGAGCAGUCAGAUUCUCAAGAACAUCCAAGUUAUGCUUUAUCUGUGGUAUGCCUGGAGCUGUCCCAGAGACUCACGAGAUAAGGCCAUUGCCAUGACAGCGGGCUAACAGCUGAAAACGUGGUUGGAGCAGGGAGCUCUGUGAAGAUAGGAUGGCCUUGCUCUGUCCAAAACUCCCCUGACUGCGCGGAGCUGUGAUGGCAAAGCCCACAAAUCCAAAUCCAACGGGUAUAAAACGAUGCCCAAAAGGAGCUCAGGGGAACUUUGGGUCUUCUGGACAAGCACUCCCACAGACAGGAUCACUGCUGGCUGCACCAACACCAGAACCCAGACCUCUCUUUCCCUCUUUGACUCUCUCACCCUCCUCCCCACCCACUUUUUCCUUUUUUUUUCCAUCUUAAAGUUCUUAAGUAAUGCAAGUCUUGUUUUGAUUCCUUAUAAUGUUGUGCAAAAAAGCUUAGUUAGAACUCUACAAGUGUGAAUACUUUUAAGAUUAUGUAGUAAAAUUGAUGAUUGUGUUUGGA